GGCACUAUGUGUCCUGCGUUUCAUUUAAUUUUUCCUCCAUUCGUACGGGCUUAAUAUUUUGUUGGGUUGUUUCACAUCUUCACUGAGCUCAGUAAAUUCUCUUUAAUGAAACUCCACGUUUUUAUUAGGUUAUAGCAUUUUUAUCUCUUCCCUUCCUGUUUCCAAAGCUAAUGUCGAUUCAUGUUUUGAAUACGGUCUUUCAUCUUCUUUUUCACUGUCCGAAACGAAAAAAGUAACCGAUCCUCUUUAAACCCUCCAUUAAUCGAUCACCCACGCUCCUUGGUUCAUUUUUAGAUUGAUUAUGAGGGGCAUGAGAGUGUCCGAGAGCGAUAGAUUGUGGGAGAGGAGAGAACAACUGGUGCUGAUGAGGCCAGAGCUUCGUCGCUUUUGUAUUAUGUUUGGUGAAGACAGCGCUGGUAAAGAAGUUCAAGAAGGUAUCCCGUCAUCUCUGUGUUUCUACCUAUGCGCCCUAUUGGAUCUGAUCCGCCUGAUUUGAGAUUAGCGUUUAGUCAAGAUCUAUCAGGCUUCUUGAAUUGCAAGCUAGGUGAGGAGAAGCCAGAUGUUUGUGUUUGAAAGAUUCAUGAGUUCUUAGGUCUGAUGCUUCCAAGAUUGCAUAAAGAGGUUCCAUUAUAAUAUCAUUAUCUCAGACUAUAUAAAUAGAAUUGAAAUUCUUAAAGAUUGUACAUAGUUGUUUAAGUUUUGACUUUUGCUUAUAUUUGUGAUGUUAUGUUCGGAUAUGUUUCCUUUUGUAUGUCUACACACAUGUUUUAUGUGUAUACACACACCUUUCAACUUCGAUAAUGUUCUUCACAUGUUCUGGAAUUAUGUUUUUUGAAUUCUCUCAGCAUUCUGUUUUAUGUUGUGUAUACACCUUUGAAUGCUUUUUUUUGUCAACACCUUUGUAUGCUUAGAUCGUAGAAAUACAAAAACUAUUAAAUCAUGGAAA